rnacentral:rRNA from 1 species
GGGAACUGCGUUNUGAACUGGGUGACUAGAGUGUNUCAGAGGGAGGUAGAAUUCCACGUGUAGCAGUGAAAUGCGUAGAGAUGUGGAGGAAUACCGAUGGCGAAGGCAGCCUCCUGGGAUAACACUGACGUUCAUGCCCGAAAGCGUGGGUAGCAAACAGGAUUAGAUACCCUGGUAGUCCACGCCCUAAACGAUGUCGAUUAGCUGUUGGGCAGCAUGACUGCUUGGUAGCGAAGCUAACGCGUGAAAUCGACCGCCUGGGGAGUACGGUCGCAAGAUUAAAACUCAAAGGAAUUGACGGGGACCCGCACAAGCGGUGGAUGAUGUGGAUUAAUUCGAUGCAACGCGAAGAACCUUACCUGGUCUUGACAUGUACGGAACCCUCCAGAGACGGAGGGGUGCCUUCGGGAGCCGUAACACAGGUGCUGCAUGGCUGUCGUCAGCUCGUGUCGUGAGAUGUUGGGUUAAGUCCCGCAACGAGCGCAACCCUUGUCAUUAGUUGCCAUCAUUAAGUUGGGCACUCUAAUGAGACUGCCGGUGACAAGCCGGAGGAAGGUGGGGAUGACGUCAAGUCCUCAUGGCCCUUAUGACCAGGGCUUCACACGUCAUACAAUGGUCGGUACAGAGGGUAGCCAAGCCGCGAGGUGGAGCCAAUCUCACAAAACCGAUCGUAGUCCGGAUUGCACUCUGC